rnacentral:misc_RNA from 1 species
UAGAUAUCAGCUAUGUAUCACAUGUUGUGACAUUAACAUAUGAAUGCUUUCAUGAUAAUCAAGAAGACAAGAGAUCAGAACAGUUCCCCAAUGAUUGGUAACAAAUGAUUAUGCUUGGCAAUAGAGUGGGCUGAUGUGUCAGAAGGAUGUUUUCGAGGCCCCUGCGUACCGUUAAGCUAACCAGGUUUGGAGUAUUUGGGGCCACUUGUAUCAAUGCAGGCUUUCCCAUGAACACGGAAAGAUACGAAAACCCAAGAAGAAAAGAAAUUCACCCGAUCAGAAAGGAAGCAGUCGGAACCCCAGAUAAAUAAAUCGGCAAUCUCAGACCAUGCCACACAAAAAAUCAUGU